rnacentral:ncRNA from 1 species
AAUAAAAAUGUUUAUAGUUUGAUUAAUUUAUUUAAAGUUUAUUUUACAUAUAAAUUUUAGUGUUAAUUUUAAAUUUAUUUUAAUAAUAAAUUAAUUAAUUUAUAGUAAUUAAUAUUAAAUAUUUAAGAAAUUAAGAUUUAGUAAUAUUUAAAUUAAUAACAAAUUUUGUGCCAGCAGUUGCGGUUAAACAAAAAUUAAAUUAAAUUUUAUUAGUAAUUAAUAAAUAAAUUUAUUAAUAAUUUAAAAUUUAAAUUAUUAGGUGAAAUUUUAAUUUAAUAUAAUAUUAAUUGAAUUUUAUGAUUUAAUAAAUUUUAUUAAAAACUAGGAUUAGAUACCCUAUUAUGAAAAUUUUAAAUUUAAAUACUAAAAUAGUAAGUGAUUAUUCAUUGAAACUUAAAUAAUUUGGCGGUAUUUUAGUUCAUUUAGAGGAAUCUGUUUAAUAAUUGAUAAUCCACGAAUAAAUUUACUUAAUUUUUAAUUUUGUAUAUCGUUGUUAAAAAAAUAUUUUUUAAUAAAAAUAAUAUUUAAAAAUUUAUAUUUAUAAAUUAAAUCAGAUCAAGAUGCAGAUUAUAAUUAAGAAUAUAAUGGAUUACAAUAAAUUUAUUUAUAUGGACAUUAAUUUGAAAAAUUUAAUUAAAAGUGGAUUUAAAUGUAAUUUUAUUUAAUUUAAUAAAAUGAUUAUAAAUUGGAAUAUGUACAUAUUGCCCGUCGCUUUCAUAUGUUCAUAUUUAUAUUAUUUAAAUAUAAAUAAUAAAUUGAAAUAAGUCGUAACAAAGUAGAGAUACUGGAAAGUGUUUCUAGAAAGA